rnacentral:antisense_RNA from 16 species
CUCUACGGCGGAACGGGAGGGGGACACCUUCGGGUGUGCUGGGUUUUUUCGGCCAGUCUGCUAACCCCCUUUCGUUCUGCCACCU